GCCCGCCCGCCCCGGAACUGACGCCAGCGCGCGCACAGGCAGGCUGACAGGCCCGGGACAGCCCCGUGCAAAAGGCAAGACGUGACCAUCGGGGCUCCGGUGCAAGUGGGGACGGAAUAAAUGCAGCCCGUGCAAAGUGUGCAGGAUGGUGCUGGUGUACGGGGUGGUCGCUGGUCGGCGCGGACUGGGUGCGCUGUUUCUCUAAAAUCUAAAGAAUUGCUGCUUCACUCGGAAGGACUGUUUGUUUCCUUGGUUCGAUGAAAGCGAAGAAAUGAGAUGGUCUUGGAGGGGAGGAUGCUCCUUAAACUGCGGAGAAUCUUGAACAAUACAGCCUACCCUCUCCAUGACACACUGGUCAACCCGAGGAGCACCUUCAGCAACAGACUGGUAACACCAAGAGUCAGCACAGAACGUCACAGGAGAUCCUUCUUCCCCAUGGCUAUCAAACUGUACAACUCCCCCUUCAGUCGUGGGAUAGACUGACUCCUCCUUCCCCCUCCCCAAUCUUCGCACAUACCCAAUCCUGGACUUUCCACUCGUCACUUUAGUUUCAUGUUUCAUGUAUCUUGUUGUGUCUCAUGACUGUUUGCAGACCAAUUUCCCUCCUGGGAUAAAUAAAGUUCUAUCGCAUCAUAUAGAUAUUCUGUGUCUAUGUAGUCUAGGAGUGAUGAGAAGACAAGUGAAAUACUCACACCCAUGUGAAAUAAAAUGAGGGGAAUUUCCUUUCAUACAUCCCCAGCCUCCACACUUUGGUGAUGGAAACUAAUCCAUCAGGAUACUCCGGCCUUGGGUGGUGCCAGGUAUUAUUUACUUCUUGCAAAGGCGAUCUCAGUUCCAGCCAGAAGCAAAUCCAGAUCUCGCUGGAAAAAAAUCAGCAAAUGAGGGAUCGCAGCAGCAACAAGUGCAAAGAUUGUUCACACCAGUUCUUUUUCUCUGGAAUAAAAGCCAACAAUUAAAUCAGCAAUUCUUCAAGCUCCAGCUUUUACUAUUGAAUUAAUUCAUGAAUUUUCAAAAGCACCAAUGCUACAACUUGCUUCAUGGAUAGACGAUAUUUCAGGUUGGGACCCUUCUUCAGCCUGGUUUCCCAUUCUGAAGAAGGGUCCAGAUUCGACAUGUCACAUAAGGUCAUGAGGAAUAGGAGUAGAAUUAGGCCAUUCUGCCCAUAAAGUCUACUCCGCCAUUCAUUCAUGGCUGAUCUAUCUCUCCCUCCUAACCACAUUCUUUUGCCUUUUCCCCAUAACCUAUGACACCUGUACUGAUCAAGAAUCUAUCUAUUUCUGCCUUAAAAAUACCUACUGACUUGCUCCACAGCCUUCUGUUGCUCAGAAUUCCUCAGAUUCACCACCCUCUGACUAAAUACAUUUCUCAUCUUCCUAAAAGAACAUCCUUUAAUUCUGAGGCUAUGACCUCUAGUCCUAGACUAUCCCACUAGUCAAAACAUCCUUUCCACUUCCACUCUAUCCAACCUAUCCAUGUAUUCCAAAGAUGCUGCCUGACCUGCUGAGCUACUCCAGCACUUUGUGUCUUUUUUUAAAAUUAACCAGCACCUUUGGUCCCUUACGUCUCCUUUAACUUGCUUCACUUGGUUUUGGGUGAUGACCAAUGUCCACGUGCAAAGGGCAAUGACAAGAUCAUUGCAAGUUUCAACGCAGAUGUGGACGGGCAAGAGUCAUGAGAAUUUCACCAUCAUUACCGCAAGACCUCUUAUAUGUGCCAAUGGGACGAGCAUAGUGGCAGUGUGGCCAGUGAGAUGAACCAUCAAGCUCCUAUGGGUGUUUCUGAAGGUCAACAAAGCUUUGCCACUCCAAGAAAAAAAUGCCAAUGGGUGUAAUUUGACUCAUUUUGUUAAAAUUCGGUCAUGAAAUAAUCUCGGCACCAAUGUUUAGACAGGACUAAACAGCAGCAUUUAAAACUUUCAACCUUGAUAAACAGGGAAAGCUUGUAGGUUUUGCCAAGUUGCAACAAGAACGAAGAGAAUACAGUUGAUGGAGCCCCCCUACCCUGACUGUAUCUAUUCACCUUACCUCUGCCCCUCAUUAUCUUAUGUAGUCCUAUAACUUCCCACACUCCAGGGGAAAAGUUCCAGCCUGUCCAGCAUCCUACAUAUAGAAUCAGACGGCAUGGAAACAGGCCCUUUAGCCAAAG